rnacentral:rRNA from 1 species
GUCGUCAGCUCGUGUCGUGAGAUGUUGGGUUAAGUCCCGCAACGAGCGCAACCCCUAUUGUUAGUUGCCAUCAUUCAGUUGGGCACUCUAGCGAGACUGCCGGUAAUAAACCGGAGGAAGGUGGGGAUGACGUCAAUCAUCAUGCCCCUUAUGACCUGGGCUACACACGUGCUACAAUGGUUGGUACAACGAGUUGCGAGUCGGUGACGGCGAGCUAAUCUCUUAAAGCCAAUCUCAGUUCGGAUUGUAGGCUGCAACUCGCCUACAUGAAGUCGGAAUCGCUAGUAAUCGCGGAUCAGCACGCCGCGGUGAAUACGUUCCCGGGCCUU